CAACGUCCCCACAGGACCACCACGUCCCCCCACACACACUUUUGGAUGUUGUUAAUAUUUCCUCCCUGGUGUAAAUACUCUCUCCUGGUUACCAUGGUUACGUCACAGCAGACUGUGUGGUCACUUUUCUAUAUCUGUACAUACAUAUAAAAACACAAAGUACUUUCUCUUUGUAUAAAAAAUAAAUACUAAUAUUAUUACACACAAAGAAAUAUAUCUACAUAUAUAUGAUGUUAUCCAAUCAGAUUGGGUUCCUGAACAUUCACUCAUGAUCUAUUUGGGAUGUGACGGUUUGGUUGUUGACAGGAAGUAAAGCACAUGGUCACCAGACCGCCACCUGUUUGUUUGUUGUUUACAGAUGUGGAGGAUGGCUGGACACUGUUGUCGUGGUUGUUGCUCCAGUUCCUCUGGCCACCAGACGAGGGGGAUCUUAAGGUCAAAGAUUCGAGUCGUCGUUUCCGUCGAUGACGAGAACAAAGUGCGACUCAUCUGGAAACCCGAGAGCUUCAAUCAACGCAAAGAAAGAAACGCGGCCGGCCGCCUCCAGAGGAGCUGCCGGCACCGCCUCGGCCACUGGGCGUGUGCAGGAGUUCAAAGAGAAACUUAUUUUUGGGACGUCUGGAACGCAUUUCAAAGUUAGAAAAAUGUAGAUUGUUUUUUAUUUAUUUCGUAUAUCUCCAUGAUUUUAGUUUCUCUCUAACUUUCUUUUCCUUCCGUCGAGGUUUAAUGGAACCGAGCCUUCAUUUAGCUUCCCGUUGGUUUAAAGUCGGAUGACUUUCGGCUAUCGACCUUUUUAUUAAAACCCGAGUAAGAAGCGUCGGUUCAGUUCCAGCGGAGCGAAGAAUCACAUUCCAGGUCUUUGGUUCCACCGACACGAGAAACAAGGCCCAGAUUGUAGGAAACGGGGCGGGGGGGGGGGCUACACGAGGCCGAGAGCAACACAUGAGAUAUCAUGGUGACUCCUCCCCUUUUUAGAGGCUGCACAGCUUCACACACACACACACACACACAGGUGAAUCACACUCGUGCUCCACCAGUAGAUCUCUACAUGUCCUGACCCCCGUACGUCUCACUCGUCUGACCACGGCACAUUCCUGACCCCGGCACAUGUACAUAGAGCGCGUGUGUGUGUGUGUGUGUGUGUGUGUGGGCCUCCUCGUCUGCAGGAGCUUCACAGAAGACGAGGGCUUCUCUUCUCUUCUCACUCACUUGGUUUCAGGGGUUUGGACAUUUUAAUGAAGCCCUUAUUUGUAUUUGUUCUGCCUGUGAUGUUGUGACGUUGAUUGUUUCUUUGUGUUUUUUUAAGUGGGCCUGUUGGUAAACGUGUCUGGAAACUCAAUAAAGCAAUUCACUGUC